AGGACUAACGCUGGCGGCGUGCCUAACACAUGCAAGUCGAACGAGAGUAGCAAUACUCUAGUGGCAGACGGGUGAGUAACACGUGGUCAACCUACCUCUAUGUGGGGGGAUAACUAGCCGAAAGGUUAGCUAAUACCGCAUACGAUCGUCGAGCGGCAUCGCUUGACGAUGAAAGGAGCAAUCCGCAGAGAGACGGGACCGCGUCCCAUUAGCUAGUUGGUGGGGUAAUGGCCUACCAAGGCGACGAUGGGUAGCUGGCUUGAGAGAGCGACCAGCCACACUGGGACUGAGACACGGCCCAGACUCCUACGGGAGGCAGCAGUGAGGAAUUUUCCGCAAUGGGCGAAAGCCUGACGGAGCGACGCCGCGUGUGGGAAGAAGGCCUUCGGGUCGUAAACCACUGUCGAAGGGGAAGAGUAUUGACGGUACCCUUGGAGGAAGCCCGGCUAACUACGUGCCAGCAGCCGC
rnacentral:rRNA from 1 species